CCUUGACCAAAAUACUGAUAAUACAAAAGAUAACAAAGAUCCAAAGAAUAGCACUCCAGAUUACCUUCAAGAAUGCUUUGACAGACAUUUUAUUAAAAUGGAAAUGGAAUCAAGUACCGAGAGAGGUUGGAAAAUCAGACAGCGGGCCAAAAAUAAAUAAAUUCAGCAUUAGAAUGAAAAAUCAAAACUUUUGAAUAAAAAGUACAAGACUUGGAGGACAGAUCAAGAAGAUCUAAUCUUAGAAUAAGAGGUAUCCCAGAAUUGAUAUUGAAC